UACGUAGGGGGCGAGCGUUGUCCGGAGUUACUGGGCGUAAAGAGCGCGUAGGCGGACCCUUAAGUGAGGGGUGAAAGGUUCGGGCUCAACCCGGAGAGUGCCUUUCAUACUGGGGGUCUUGAGUGCGGGAGAGGCAAGUGGAAUGGUCGGUGUAGCGGUGAAAUGCGUAGAUAUCGAUCGGAACACCAGUGGCGAAGGCGGCUUGCUGGCGCGCAACUGACGCUGAGGCGCGAAAGCGUGGGGAGCAAACAGG
rnacentral:rRNA from 1 species